AUUGAACGCUGGCGGCAUGCCUUACGCAUGCAAGUCGAACGGCGGCACGGGAGCAAUCCUGGUGGCGAGUGGCGAACGGGUGAGUAAUGUAUCGGAACGUACCUUUCAGUGGGGGAUAACGUAGCGAAAGUUACGCUAAUACCGCAUAUUCUGUGUGCAGGAAAGCAGGGGAUCGCAAGACCUUGCGCUGAUUGAGCGGCCGAUAUCAGAUUAGCUAGUUGGUGAGGUAAAGGCUCACCAAGGCGACGAUCUGUAGCGGGUCUGAGAGGAUGAUCCGCCACACUGGAACUGAGACACGGUCCAGACUCCUACGGGAGGCAGCAGUGGGGAAUUUUGGACAAUGGGGGCAACCCUGAUCCAGCCAUGCCGCGUGAGUGAAGAAGGCCUCGGUGUAAG
rnacentral:rRNA from 1 species